CAGUCGCCACGGGAAUACGAAGGGUGCAAGCGUUACUCGGAAUUACUGGGCGUAAAGCGUGCGUAGGUGGUGGUUUAAGUCCGUUGUGAAAGCCCUGGGCUCAACCUGGGAAUUGCAGUGGAUACUGGGUCACUAGAGUGUGGUAGAGGAUAGUGGAAUUUCCGGUGUAGCAGUGAAAUGCGUAGAGAUCGGAAGGAACAUCUGUGGCGAAGGCGACCAUCUGGGCCAACACUGACACUGAGGCACGAAAGCGUGGGGAGCAAACAGGAUUAGAUACCCCCGUAGUCCCUGUCUCUUAUAC
rnacentral:rRNA from 1 species